rnacentral:ncRNA from 1 species
AAUCGGGAGAACUGGACGAUCCAGUGCCGAAGGAGCAACCGCCCCGGAAACUCUCAGGCCACAGGGACCGA